GAAGACGAGUUUAUGUCGGAAGAUGAUGACAUCGAAGAGGAAGAUGAUGAUUAUGAGUUUGAGUCCGAUGGAGAGCAAGUCUUGGAGUGAUAUGGAGAAGAGGAGGAGUGAUUGACUAUUAAUUUUGUGCUACUUAGUUUCAUUUGGUUAAUUGGUUUUGAACUUAGAGUGUCAAACUAUUUGGUUUUACUUAGUUUCCAUAUUUUUAUUUGAUGAUUUGUGUUACUUAUGUUAUUCUACUUGUUCAUAACUUAUCAAAGGAGAGAGGAUAAUAUAUAUUUAAAAAAAAUAAUUGAAAAUCCGACUAGCCGAUUAAUCCCCGACUAAUCCCCUAGUUUCUAGUCGGUAGCCAACCGACCUGGGACCGACUAGCGACUUUUAGAACACUGGAUUCUAGCAUUUCAUCUGGAUAUGUUACAUGGACUAAGGUAUGGCCCUGUGUGGGUUAUGUAUUGAAGUGUCUAACCUCCACGAACGCCAUUUUUUG
rnacentral:lncRNA from 1 species